GGCUAUUGUUAAUAAUGCUGAAAUAAUUGUGGGGGUGCAGACAUAUUUUGGAGUUAGUGUUUUUGUCUCCUUUGGAUAAGUAUCCAGAAGUAGAAUUUUUGGAUUAUAUGGUAGUUCUGUUUUUAACUUUUGAGGAACUUCUAUACAAUUUUCCAUAGCGGCUGUACCAAUUUAUAAUCCCAC